rnacentral:pre_miRNA from 1 species
AAGCUACUCCUUCUGUCCGAAAAGAUUUGUCGGAGAAAUGAAUGUAUCUAGACGUAUUUUAGUUCUAGAUAUAUCCAUUUUUAUCCAUUUCUGUGACAAGUAAUUCUAAACGAUGGGAGUAUAUU